rnacentral:lncRNA from 1 species
GCGUGUUUGAAAUGUAAAAAACCAACAUCCCUCACAUUUUAUGCUUUUUAUCACUAUUAUAAACAGGGUGCCAUAUACUGCUAUAGUUUCAAAUAGUGAAAUCUUGACUGAUUUCUGCCUAAGUAUUUCACAAAAUAUUAAAUACAACGAUAUCACAUUUUAUGCUUUUUAUCACUAUUAUAAACAGGGUGCCAUAUACUGCUAUAGUUUCAAAUAGUGAAAUCUUGACUGAUUUCUGCCUAAGUAUUUCACAAAAUAUUAAAUACAACGAUAUCCAGCUGCGCAUAAGUUAUUAUACCAUUUACAUUUCUUCUAAAUCCUUUAGAUAUGGCUCACAUGACUGACAUGAGUAUUAAUUUCUCGGGAAUUUCAAUUUUCCACUCCUACGAUCAUCUGAUGAAUAACAGUGCCAUAUAAAUCGGUAGAUAAUCUUCAAAGGUUUCUCAUACCAACACAUCUUUCAAGGACGAAUUAUAUAAACAUGUUAAUAACAACUUUAGUAAAGGAAAACUGUUAUGAGCAAAAUAACAAGUGUUUCUCGUGCCGAUUAUUUUCUGAAACACUCGGGCGCCAUCUUGAAAUUUGAGUUCGGGGGGGGUGAAUGCCUCUCUUUAGCGCACUGGCUAAGCUUUUGGCGGCCGGUUACACUUUUUUGGCUGAGUUCCACCUCUGUGUAG